rnacentral:rRNA from 1 species
UGCCAGACUCCUACGGGAGGCAGCAGUGAGGAAUAUUGGUCAAUGGCCGGAAGGCUGAACCAGCCAAGUCGCGUGAGGGAAGACUGCCCUAUGGGUUGUAAACCUCUUUUGUCAGGGAGCAAUUGGCGCUACGUGUAGCGUUAUCGAGAGUACCUGAAGAAAAAGCAUCGGCUAACUCCGUGCCAGCAGCCGCGGUAAUACGGAGGAUGCGAGCGUUAUCCGGAUUUAUUGGGUUUAAAGGGUGCGUAGGCGGAAUGCCAAGUCAGCGGUAAAAUCGCGGGGCUCAACCUCGCUCCGCCGUUGAAACUGGCGUUCUUGAGUGGGCGAGAAGUAUGCGGAAUGCGUGGUGUAGCGGUGAAAUGCAUAGAUAUCACGCAGAACUCCGAUUGCGAAGGCAGCAUACCGGCGCCCAACUGACGCUGAAGCACGAAGGCGUGGGUAUCGAACAGGAUUAGAUACCCUAGUA